AGAGAAUAAACCCCUGGCUGGCGCGAGAGCAGCGGUCCUCAUCUACUUCACACAACGCAGAUUUUGCAGCAACAUGAGAUGCUAUGUAAGCCGAGUUGGAUACACACACCUGAGCAGAGCCGAGGGCUUUUAGCAGAGACGAGGAAGUUCACUAACACGUGUUCAGCAUCCUUCCUGCAUCCAGCCUGGUGGGCUUUUCCUGUGUGUGUGUGUGUGUGUGUGUGUGUGUGUGUGUGUGUGUGUGUGUGUGUGUGUGUGUGUGUGUGU